rnacentral:lncRNA from 1 species
GGGCCUUCGGUGUAGGCAUACAAUAUAUGUGGAUAUGGCAUCAUCAUCAUCUUAGGACUUGGCUAUGCGUGCCUUGGAUUUUUCAAACUCUUCUUCGUUCUCUCCGGCCUCUUCAAAUCUGAUAUCUUCAUCUUCUGAAAGGACCUCAAUCUUUUCACCGUAUGGCCCAGGUAUGAUCUUCUCGUCGAUAUGCUUGUGCUUUGUGACAUUGAUGAGCUCUGUCUUCUUCUCUUCUCUGCUCUGAUGUUUCUUGUGCCAGGUCCAAGGGAGGUGGUGAUGCGCCGUCUUCCC